rnacentral:misc_RNA from 1 species
UAAUAAGUGUUUUAUGGCACUUUUAAAUCCAUAUCCAACCUUGUGUGCAAUGUCAGUCGAUCUUCUUCAUGGAGAUCGACCACCACCAAACAUCAACCUUUAUUCUUUUAACUCUUUGUCUGAAAAAUAUUAUGAAUUAAACAAUUCAAAAUA